rnacentral:miRNA from 1 species
UAAUACUGCCUGGUAAUGACG